rnacentral:lncRNA from 1 species
UUUUUUUUUUCUGUCUUUUUAGGGCCACACCCACGGCAUAUGGAGGUUUCCAGGCCAGGGGUCGAAUCACAGCUGCAGCUGCUGGCCUACACCACAGCCACAGCAACGUGGGAUCCAGAUCCGAACCGCGUCUGCGACCUACACCACAGCUCAUGGCAAUGCUGGAUUCUUAACCCACUGAGUGAGGCCCUGCGUCCUCAUGGAUGCUCGUCGGGUCUGUUAACCACUGAGCCACAACGGGAACUCCCCCAGUGGAACCGUUCUACCCAAACCUCACCUUGGCCUCUGGCCUGGCUGAACCCCACUAUUUCACACAGCCUCGGCCACACCACAGCCAUCAUGACCUGCAGCCGUGGGUGACCAGCCAGUGCUGUGCUGUGAGCACCCUUCUUUCAUCCCCUGCAGCAACUCUCCAAGCACAGUGACUCUCCCCACUUGGCAGAUGAGGACAUGGAUGCUCAGAAAGGCUGCGUAACUUCCCCAAGGCCACACAGCAGAAAGACUUAGGAGCCAGCUUCAAAGCAAAGCCUGCCAGAAGGAGCAAUCGUGCAACUGACCCCCCUCACACCUCCCCUGGGCAGCCCCCCAAGCAGGCUCACUGCCCCAUGACUUGCGUGCAAAUAUUUUCAGAAAGGCUGAGUGGCUCUCCCAUGGUUCAACAUUCCAAACUGUCUUCUCUGCCUCACUCCAGAGGGAGGGCUUCAGGACAGGGGCCAGGCUUUCUUCCUGGGGUCACAGCGAGGCCCAAGGUGGGCUUCCCAGAGGCACCGUGAGUCCUGACAACCAGAAGAGACCCACAGGUACAGAGAUGUCAUUUUCUGAGCCAAAAACAGGUUAGAGGAGCCUGGAGAAGGUCCUGUGCUCCCAAGAUCAUGGGCCUUCUGGGAUGUUGGGCUGAGUUGUGGAGAAAGCAGAGGAGGAUUCUGGAAGCUGCCAGUCCUCCAUGUAGUCCCCAGACUCUGGGUCACCCAGGCGGCACCCCCAUGUCUGCAGCAGCAGAUGCCAAGCCAAAAAAAUAAGAAUAAGGAGUCACUGAUUUCAGCCCCCAAAGAAACUCUGUUGCCUGAAAUGAAAGUCACUCCUCUUCCAAAGUUCUGUCCCUGCAGAGGUGCAAGUGGUCAGGGAAGGGUCCUAGGCCUUGCCCCUGGCACCCCUAGGGCUCCUCCCAUUGGGUUCCUGGCCGUCCAAGGCCUGCAGAGGGAGAACACCCUGACAUUGUUCUGAACUGGCUCCCCAAGGUGGGCAGUGGGCACCUGGACAUGCGCUGGGGGCAGCUCUGUGCCAUGCCCACCCCGAUCCCCCGGAAAUCUCGAGAGCUCUCAGCACCAUGAGGGUGGACGCGGCCCACGUGGGCAGUAACUUAACAUGACACCAGACAGAAGCAGGGCCUGCAUCACCGGGACUGGGUCCACCCCUCCCAGGAGCAUCAGCACCCCAGAUGCCCACCUGCCCCGCCCCCCACCGCAGGGCUCUAGGAGGCUCCUCUUAGGGGCAUUUCCAGUUUGACAGCCUCAUUCUUCACACCCCAAGGACUGUGGCUGCUGGGAUUUACCUGGAUGUGUAAUGAGGCCUGAGGGUUCCCUGAGGUGACGCCAUGGGCUCCCCAGGGCAGAAAUCAGUGCCCCUUCUCCUGCCUGGUCCCAGCGGCCACCAGCCUACACUCCAUUGCAUCAACCACUCAGCAGCCUCCGGGCAGAAUCCACAGCCACCGUGUCCCGCUGUGGACGCUCCUCAUCUAGGCGGGUUUCCCACGCACCAGUCACUGUCACUGCCCCACCACCCCCGAGCCACACGGUCAGCGCCACAACCUCCCACUAGCUGUGCCUCCUGGACAGGCAGCCCGGCGAGGCUCAGGACACCUGCAGGAGGGCAGGGAGCCCGGGACCAAGGGGCACGAGAUGGGGUUUUGGAUCCUGAUCUUUCUAACUCUGGGACCUUAGCCAUCUGCCCUUCCAGUCCUGGGCCUCAGCUCCCCCAUCUGAAAAGGCAAAGAGGUCCCCGUCUUCUGAGGUCCCCUCCAGCUCUGAGUCUGUGGCACACCCCGCCCCCCGGAAGCCUGGGGAGUUGGGGAGAGGAAGGGGUGCCCAAGGCUGGGGCAGGGCCCCCACAGAAGCCCUGGGACCCAGCCCUGGGCAGAAGUCACGUGAGCCUUCCUGAAAAACAGACCCCAACUGGUUGUCAGGGGACGUGUUUGUGCGCAUGUGCGCCCACUUACUGGGUCAGGACUUGUUUGCAGUGAUGAAAUGGUCUGAAAUUAGACCGUGGUGAACGCUGCACAACUUUGGGAAUGUACAAAAACACACCCAAGUGUACCCUUUAAAGAAAAUAUUUUCGCUUGUUUGUUUUUUAUCUUUUUAGGGCUGCGCCCGCGGCAUAUGAAAGUUCCCAGGCUAGGGGUCGAAUCGGAGCCACAGCUGCCGGCCUACAGCACAGCCACAGCAAUGCCAGAUCCGAGCCACGUCCGCAACCUACACCACAGCUCACGGCAACUCCAAAUCCUUAACCCACUGAGCGAGGCCGGGGAUCAAAUCUAUGUCCUUAUGGAUACUGGUCAGGUUCAUUACUGCUGAGCCACAACAGGAACUCCAGAAAAUAAUUUCCAAACAAACUAAAAACCAACCCCAAAAGCCAACAUGCGAGAGGACAAGAACAAAGUCCCUACAGGCAUCACCAGGCACCAAGGACCCACCCACAGGCAUUUUUUGGUGGGGACUCAUAACCCCCUCACGGCUGAUGCCUCUGUAGCCAGGUUUCCUAUCACCUGCAGCCAAAUGCCCUCCUAACUGAUGGACGUGUCCCCUGUGCCGCCCACCGGGACCAGAGGGGACUCAGCACACUGAGCAGUACUUGUCCAAGGCUGGUGGUCAGAAUGCAACUAAAAGUCAAGUUACUGGGCUGUCACUGCUGGCGGCCCCUGGAACAGACAUGCACAGACACACACGUACACACACAAAAGUGUGUAUAUCAUCUAAACAGCCCAGGGGAUUAACCGCUCUGAGGCUUCACACGUGUGCUCUCUCCACACACACCAGCUGCCCUUGACAGAGGGGGGACCUCCCCCCAAACUGGGUGGUCCAGGGAGACAAGGUGCCCCCCACUGCCACGGCCAUCACCCACCACCCCCUGGAGGCCUCUGAGAGCCACAGCCAGGCUGGGAGAGGCAGCAACUGGGGAGGAGGCGGUGAGCCAGUGAAUGGGUAUCAAAGGGUGGAAAAGCCCCCGGGGCCCCCCAGGCCUCCCCCCAAAUGCCCCGACCCCCAGCUCGCUUCUAAUUCAUCAGCAAGUCUGCAGCGAAGAUCACGGGCGGGGAGCUGGGGGCGGGGACGUGGAGGGACGAGGCAGCCCAGCCCUGACCCACUGCCGGGUGACAGACAAGUCCAAGGCCAGUUGGGAACACAGGAGGGGAGGAGGGCUGUGCUUUAGGAAGGGGGGCAGCAUCUAACUCAGGCUCGAGAGGCGCCUCCAGGAAGGCUCCCGGGCUUGCAAGAAUUCGCCCAAAGCAAGAGACAACAGCACAGAGGGGAGCAAGACGCAGCGCCAUAUGUUCUGGAAACCAAUGAAGCCCUGAAUGGUGGGCACAGAACCAGGCAGGGCCAGGCCGUGCCCAGGCUGGCACACGGCAAGCAGAGGAAGGCCUUCACACGAGGCCCCAGGCUGGCUGGUGGCCCCUGUGGAAGGCCUGGCCGCUCCUGGAGUGUCACUUCCCGUCUCCGGACCCCUUCUCGCACUGCCCACCCCUCUGCUGCCAUGCCCACCCCAGCCUCCUCCUGGGUCCGAAUCCCACCCGUUCUCCAGUCACCUGCUGCGGGCUGCUCUCGGCACAGUGGGGAGUGCGCUUGUCUCCAAAACCCAGUGGCAGUGUCCCCACCCCCAAGGUCGCCC